UACGUAGGUGGCAAGCGUUAUCCGGAUUUACUGGGUGUAAAGGGCGUGUAGGCGGGAGUGCAAGUCAGAUGUGAAAACCACGGGCUCAACCUGUGGCCUGCAUUUGAAACUGUACUUCUUGAGUACUGGAGAGGCAGACGGAAUUCCUAGUGUAGCGGUGAAAUGCGUAGAUAUUAGGAGGGACACCAGUGGCGAAGGCGGUCUGCUGGACAGCAACUGACGCUGAGGCGCGAAAGCGUGGGGAGCAAACAGG
rnacentral:rRNA from 1 species